CCCUUAGAUGUUCUGGGCCGCACGCGUGCUACACUGAUGCAUUCAACGAGUCUAAAACCUGGUCUGAUAGGGCUGGGUAAUCUUUUGAAAGUGCAUCGUGAUUGGGAUAGAUGAUUGCAAUUCUUCAUCUUCAACGAGGAAUGCCUAGUAAACGCAAGUCAUCAGCUUGCAUUGAUUACGUCCCUGCCCUUUGUACACACCGCCCGUCGCUCCUACCGAUUGAAUGAUCCGAUGAAUAUCAUGGAUUGAGAGUACGAAUGGGUUCGCUCAUUUCUGCUGCUCGAGAAGUGAGGUAAAUCUUAUCAUUUAGAGGAAGGAGAAGUCGUAACA
rnacentral:rRNA from 1 species